rnacentral:rRNA from 1 species
UACGUAGGGUGCAAGCGUUGUUCGGAAUCACUGGGCGUAAAGGGAGCGUAGGCGGGAUUGUAAGUUAGGAGUUUAAUCCACAGGCUUAACCUGUGGUCUGCUUUUAAUACUGCAGUUCUUGAGUAUGGGAGAGGGCGAUGGAAUUCCAGGUGUAGCGGUGGAAUGCGUAGAUAUCUGGAAGAACACCAGUAGCGAAGGCGGUCGCCUGGCCCAAUACUGACGCUGAUGCUCGAAAGCUAGGGGAGCAAACAGG